UAAGGAAUAUUGGACAAUGGAGGCAACUCUGAUCCAGCCAUGCCGCGUGAAGGAUGAAGGCGCUAUGCGUUGUAAACUUCUUUUGAACGGGAGAAAACCCUCGGUCGCGUACCGAGGCUGAUAGUACCGUUAGAAUAAGGGUCGGCUAACUUCGUGCCAGCAGCCGCGGUAAUACGAAGGACCCGAGCGUUAUCCGGAUUCAUUGGGUUUAAAGGGUGCGUAGGUGGAUUGAUAAGUCAGUGGUGAAAUCUCAUGGCUCAACUGUGAAACUGCCAUUGAUACUGUCAAUCUUGAGUACAUAUGAUGUGGGCGGAAUGUGCCAUGUAGUGGUGAAAUACUUAGAUAUGGCACAGAACACCGAUUGCGAAGGCAGCUCACAAAACUGUAACUGACACUGAGGCACGAAAGCGUGGGGAUCAAACAGGAUUAGAUACCCCUGUAGUCC
rnacentral:rRNA from 1 species